rnacentral:rRNA from 1 species
GAUGAACGCUGGCGGCGUGCCUAAUACAUGCAAGUCGAGCGAACAGACGAGGAGCUUGCUCCUCUGACGUUAGCGGCGGAAGGGUGAGUAACACGUGGAUAACCUACCUAUAAGACUGGGAUAACUUCGGGAAACCGGAGCUAAUACCGGAUAAUAUAUUGAACCGCAUGGUUCAAUAGUGAAAGACGGUUUUGCUGUCACUUAUAGAUGGAUCCGCGCCGCAUUAGCUAGUUGGUAAGGUAACGGCUUACCAAGGCAACGAUGCGUAGCCGACCUGAGAGGGUGAUCGGCCACACUGAAACUGAGACCCGGUCCAGACUCCUACGGGAGGCAGCAGUAGGGAAUCUUCCGCAAUGGGCGAAAGCCUGACGGAGCAACGCCGCGUGAGUGAUGAAGGUCUUCGGCUCGUAAAACUCUGUUAUUAGGGAAGAACAAAUGUGUAAGUAACUAUGCACGUCUUGACGGUACCUAAUCAGAAAGCCACGGCUAACUACGU